rnacentral:rRNA from 1 species
CCCUUAGAUGUUCUGGGCCGCACGCGCGCUACACUGAUGAAUUCAACGAGCUCCUAACCUAGGCCGAAGGGUCCGGGUAAUCUUUGAAAUUUCAUCGUGAUGGGGAUAGAUUAUUGCAAUUAUUAAUCUUCAACGAGGAAUUCCUAGUAAGCGCGAGUCAUCAGCUCGCGUUGAUUACGUCCCUGCCCUUUGUACACACCGCCCGUCGCCCCUACCGAUUGAAUGGUCCGGUGAAAUGUUCGGACCGCGACAAGGCGGACGGUUCGCUGUCAGCUUUGCUGCGGGAAGUUCAUUAAACCUUAUCAUUUAGAGGAAGGAGAAGUCGUANCA